rnacentral:rRNA from 1 species
AUUGAACGCUGGCGGCAGGCCUAACACAUGCAAGUCGAACGAGUGGCGGACGGGUGAGUAAUGUCUGGGAAACUGCCUGAUGGAGGGGGAUAACUACUGGAAACGGUAGCUAAUACCGCAUACUAUCGGAUGUGCCCAGAUGGGAUUAGCUAGUAGGUGGGGUAAAGGCUCACCUAGGCGACGAUCCCUAGCUGGUCUGAGAGGAUGACCAACAACACUGGGACUGGGACGCGGUCCAGACUCCUACGGGAGGCAGCAGUGGGGAAUAUUGCACAAUGGGCGCGAGCCUGAUGCAGCAAUGCCGGGUGUAUAAAAAAGGCCUUCGGGUUUUAAAGUACUUUCAGCGGGGAGGCGUUACCCACUGAAGAAGCACCGGCUAACUCCGUGCCAGCAGCCGCGGUAAUUC